UUGGGGCGGUGAAAUUGCUAGAGCCGGCCCUGCUUACAAGCUUUCCAUGUCUCAGCUGAUUCGCUGCAGGCUGCGUGAGUCAGGGAGACUGAAUUCCUCCUCACCCUCAGAGAUCAGCUAUUCCGACAACAGACGCAGCACAUGGACGAAGGACUUGAGUUUAUCGGGCUAUCAGCCCGUUGUCCUACCCAAGUAUUAGAUUCAGCUGUGCAGACCCUGGGGUAGCACAAGUCAAGAUUUGGAUUUUCAAAAGCAACUGAUGUCUUUGGGCUCUUCAAGUUGUUGGUUACAGUGUAGUAUUAAUGAUUAAUAGCUCUUAUCACUGGAUAAUCCAGAUUGGGGCCCUGUUGUGCUCGGAGCUGUACAUGCACAGGGGGAACUGUGUUUCCUGCCCUGAAGAGUUUUCACUCUAUUUUCAGCCAAAGCUGAUAGCACAGCGGAAUUUGUAAGGCAAAUGACUCUUGCUAAUCAAUGCAAUCAAGUAGGUUAUUUUUGUUCUAGUUUAAGAUAUAUUCCCUGUGUGCCUUCCCUCUUCUCCCUCCCCCUUUACUGCAGGUAUAUUUAUAGCUGUCUAAUUUGCUACUUUGAAGGACAAAGUGGUGCAGAGAUUCCUUCCAUUGUACUACUUCUCAGCUCCCUACCCUGGGACUAGAUUGUUAAUUAUACUGACAGCUGUGUUCCUAAACAGACGUAAUCCGUCAGUCAUGGUGUGGGGGGGCGAAUGUAAACUUUGCAACCCCUGGGUGCCUCUGACAGGUAAAAUCUUUCCUAUUUUCCUCUUAUCCAACAUUUUUAAAAGGCUGAUCCUGCAUGGGACAGUAGAGGAGAAUAGAAGAAUAUUGAAAUGAAAAUCAGCCAUUUUAGUUAUUGAGUGGGUGGACGACUGAAGGAAAGAAAAGGAAUCCUCGUAAAUGUAUUUAUAACACAUAUCCACUACAGGAUAUGAGAUUUACAGGAGGAUAUAAAGCCCGAUAUAUAAUUAUGGCCUGGAGCUUGUGCUGUGGAGGAAAGUGCUGGAUCUGCAGAUAGAUGUAACCUGCACAGCAUGCUCUGUGAUGUGGGGAGGGGACUGUGCGUGUGCAAAUCAAGUGUGGCAUGUGUCAACGCAGCAAGACACUAGGACAGGAAUUUACCUUCUAUCCACGAAACAUCACCUGAGCCAUCAACUAAUGCUGCCCUAGCCAGAGUUGGCAGAGACAGUGCCAACAGGCCUAAUGGGGAAAGCACCAUUGCAAAGGACCCACCGGUCUGCAGCAAGAAAGAGGAUUCCUCUUUCCAGGGAAAGGUGCCGCAAUCAACAGCACUCGGAAAUGAUGCCCUAGUCUUCCGCAGAAGAUUUCACACAGCAUGCGGAGCAGCAAUAAGAGUGGCAUCGAGCACUCUCAUUUAGAGGCCAACACACCUGGGUCAGAAGGUAACAGCUCUCAUUCCCGUAGACCUGCAGGUAGCGACCUGAAGCUAGCAUGAGCUAUAAUCUCUGUGAGCCAUCCAGACCUCUGAAUUAUGUGACCGGCACAUUGGGAUUUAACCAGCCUGUGACUUUUGUGAUCAGCUGAUACAAACUAAUAGCUGCUUUUCCACAUCUGACUGGCAUAGACGACAUGUUCUUGUUUUAACGCCUCCUGUUGUGAUGUCUUGCACAGAGCGACACCGCAGCAUGGGGAGAAAACAAAACUCAUCAGCAAGGGACUGGCAGUUCCUUCAAUACCUGGCCAGACACACUCUGCUCAGAGAGGAACUGGAGUUUCUCUGGGAUGAAAUAUAAUAGCACUAGGAAGGAGAGGUCGAGUAACACAAACAAUGGCUGGAAUGAGCGAGACGUGCUGAGGAGAGAUGUCCAGAUCCUGAAGUGAUCUUGCAACCAAGCUGACUAGAAAGCUGCAGUGUUUCCCCAGCACAGCUGUCACUGCUGUUUCAUGCUCCCAUCGGUACAAGACACCAGCAUGAUGAGCAAGUGACCUAGGAAAUGCAGAUCCCAGCCCGGAAGUCAUCAGCUUCCACUAGUAAUUCCCUUUCUGGAUUUUCACCCUGGUUGGAGAUGGCAGCAUCUGUUGUUCUUCAGGUUUCCUAACUGUGCCGCCUUUGGUUGGCUGCCACCGAAGGACUGGAAUGUGCAUGUAUAGAACACACACAGGGGCUCUCACUCCAAUCUAUCUGUGGCACUGAAGGAACGUGAAGUCCAAUGGUGGAGCGUUAACUCUCUGGAGGAAGGAAAGCUUUGUCUACCUACACUGGAGCAAGACUGUGCUCUGCUUUCAUCUACUCACAGGAAACAUGGUUGGCUAAGGCCAUCACCCCCUGAAAGUGACAGCAGUGAUGGCAGUAGAGCUGUAAACGAGUAUACAUCUGUACAAGUAAGUGCACGUAAUACUACGUACUGCAAUUUCCUCAUGGAGGAACAGUAAAAUGGUCAUAAAACAGCUCCCCUUCUUGCCUUAAUCCUUACACAUUAGCAGAACAUUGCUGCCUGGAGUCUUGGCAGCAGGGUGGUUGGACUCUUCUCAGCAGCCAAUUAAAAAUGUCUGAUAUGCUCAUCUCUUCACCAUCCCUAUGGGAGGAAUGCAAGGCUCUCUCCCCAAGAGUAACUGGAGGCUCUG